GAUGAACGCUGACAGAAUGCUUAACACAUGCAAGUCUACUUGAACUUCGGUUUGGGUGGCGGACGGGUGAGUAACGCGUAAAGAACUUGCCUCACAGUUAGGGACAACAUUUGGAAACGAAUGCUAAUACCUGAUAUUAUGAUUUUAGGGCAUCCUAAGAUUAUGAAAGCUAUAUGCACUGUGAGAGAGCUUUGCGUCCCAUUAGCUAGUUGGAGAGGUAACGGCUCACCAAGGCGAUGAUGGGUAGCCGGCCUGAGAGGGUGAACGGCCACAAGGGGACUGAGACACGACCCUUACGCAUACGGGAGGCAGCAGUGGGGAAUAUUGGACAAUGGACCAAAAGUCUGAUCCAGCAAUUCUGUGUGCACGAUGACGUUUUUCGGAAUGUAAAGUGCUUUCAGUUGGGAAGAAAAAAAUGACGGUACCAACAGAAGAAGUGACGGCUAAAUACGUG
rnacentral:rRNA from 1 species